CCUACGGGAGGCAGCAGUGAGGAAUAUUGGUCAAUGGACGAGAGUCUGAACCAGCCAAGUAGCGUGAAGGAUGACUGCCCUAUGGGUUGUAAACUUCUUUUAUAAAGGAAUAAAACGAGGCACGUGUGCCUUUUUGCAUGUACUUUAUGAAUAAGGAUCGGCUAACUCCGUGCCAGCAGCCGCGGUAAUACGGAGGAUCCGAGCGUUAUCCGGAUUUAUUGGGUUUAAAGGGAGCGUAGAUGGGUUGUUAAGUCAGUUGUGAAAGUUUGCGGCUCAACCGUAAAAUUGCAAUUGAUACUGGCAGUCGUGAGUACAGUUGAGGUAGGCGGAAUUCGUGGUGUAGCGGUGAAAUGCUGAGAUAUCACGAAGAACCCCGAUUGCGAAGGCAGCUUACUAAACUGUGACUGACAUUGAUGCUCGAAAGUGUGGGUAUCAAACAGGAUUAGAUACCCCAGUAGUC
rnacentral:rRNA from 1 species